GGUUGUUCAAAGUCGGUGAAGCCGAGCUUCUUCGCCGGUGGUCUACGCGGUACAUAACCGUCCCUCGAGGCAAAGUUUUCCUACAGCCAAAAUGAUGCCCAAAUUGUGUUUGCCUGAGUAGAGACUCGGUACUUGUGUGUUCCCCGGAUGUCAUUCA
rnacentral:lncRNA from 1 species